rnacentral:lncRNA from 1 species
CUCCAGAGGUUCAGAGCCUGCAGAGUCAGUCAGUCCAGAUAGCCAGAGGUGAGUAGAACUAAACUGAUGACUUUUAAUUGAACCAUAAACUGCUUUUAGCAUAUCUCAUGCAUCAUGUUUAUGCCAUAGGUUGAUUGCAUUAGUAUUCACGAAUAUGUUGCAUUGCAUCGUUAUUUGGUGAUGUGAGUGAAUGCUGAAUGAUCCAAUAGUCUCAGACAGGAAGUCCAGGAGCCUUAGUCUCAGACAGGAAGUCCAGGAGCCUUUGACUACGCCCUGGCAGGUAUAGUGAAGUCCAGGAGCCUUUGACUACGCCCUGGCAGGUAUAGCAAAGUCCAGGAGCCUUUGACUACGCCCUGGCAAUGGUAAGUACAGAGGUGUUAUAUACACAUAUACAUAUAUGACAGGAAGACCAGGUGCUCGAUUCUACGCCCUGGCACAGAGUUACUGGGACUAUGUGGUGACAGGUUUACUCUUGAUGUGGCUUGUCUGUGAUAUGGUGCAUUCCAUGAGGUCAUAUUUUCCUGAGAUGUUUUACUGUUCUACUCACUGGGCUAUAGAGCUCAUCCCACUCCCUUAACCCCAGUUUUGCAGAUUCAGUGUACAGUGUACAGGGACAGUCCAGCAGAGUACAGGAAGAGUGAAGAGAUCUGUAAUAGCUUAGAGUGGACAUGUAAUAGUAAAGAGAUGUAAUAGUUGUUGCUUGACCUAGACCUAGUGAUGUAUGUUGUGUACAUGAUCUGUAUAUGUAUAUAUGUUUUCCUGUAUGUGAAAACCAGGCUUAACAGGUAUGAGUUACCCAUCUAGAGCAAGCUCUAGUCAGGGAUACAGAGUACAGAGUACAUGAGUACAGAGUACAGAGAUAGUGCAUGCACAGGUUGAGCCUUGGUUCAGACACGAGUUUUAUUUUCACAUAAAACGUAUGAUCAUGUAUGAGGUUUACAGGUACACAGAGAAUAUAGCAGGCUUGCUACG